UUCGUCUUCAGCAAGUGGAAGAGACUGGGGACGUAAAGGAGCUGGUUCAGAUGCAACCAAGCCAUUGGAAAUCACGAAGCCUGCCUCAGAAAAAGUUGACUCAUUUGAGUAUACACCUCCACACUAAGUGACAUCGCGAAGGGAACAUUCCAGCGAAAUCUUUGAAGGUAACACGGCCCUUAAAAGGAA